GAUGAAGAACGCAGCGAAAUGCGAUAAGUAAUGUGAAUUGCAGAGUUCAGUGAAUCAUCGAAUCUUUGAACGCACAUUGCGCCCCUUGGUAUUCCGAGGGGCAUGCCUGUUCGAGCGUCAUUAUAACCCCUCAAGCUCAGCUUGGUGUUGGGGCCUGCUGCACUGGCAGCCCUUAAAAUCAGUGGCGGCGCCAUCUGGCUCUAAGCGUAGUAAUUCUUCUCGCUAUGGAGUCCUGGUGGAUGCUUGCCAUCAACCCCCAAUUUUUCUAUGGUUGACCUCGGAUCAGGUAGGGAUACCCGCUGAACUUAAGCAUAUCAAUAAGCGGAGGA
rnacentral:misc_RNA from 1 species